CCUACGGGGGGCUGCAGUGGGGAAUAUUGGACAAUGGGGGGAACCCUGAUCCAGCCAUGCCGCGUGUGUGAAGAAGGCCCUCGGGUUGUAAAGCACUUUCAGUGAGGAAGAACGCCUGGUGGUUAAUACCCAGCAGGAAAGACAUCACUCACAGAAGAAGCACCGGCUAACUCCGUGCCAGCAGCCGCGGUAAUACGGAGGGUGCGAGCGUUAAUCGGAAUUACUGGGCGUAAAGCGCGCGUAGGUGGCUUGAUAAGCCGGUUGUGAAAGCCCCGGGCUCAACCUGGGAACGGCAUCCGGAACUGUCAAGCUAGAGUGCAGGAGAGGAAGGUAGAAUUCCCGGUGUAGCGGUGAAAUGCGUAGAGAUCGGGAGGAAUACCAGUGGCGAAGGCGGCCUUCUGGACUGACACUGACACUGAGGUGCGAAAGCGUGGGUAGCAAACAGGAUUAGAUACCCCAGUAGUA
rnacentral:rRNA from 1 species